rnacentral:lncRNA from 1 species
CAAUAUUAUGUCCGUAUAUCAGGUGGCGAAGAGUUAUCAUGCAAUUGCCAUUAGUAAUUGACUCAUCUAAUCCCUAGGUAAUUCAAAUAACGAUGAUGUCUUGGAAAGCUAUUUUAUUUUUUGGCUUUGAAGGUGCAGGAAGAAGUGAAGCAAAGAUAUGAAAUAGCCUGGCAAGACCUAAAAUGACUAGUGUAAAACCAUUCAAACAAGAAAACCAACAGUAUUAUUAAUAAACAAGAA